AAGGCACCUUUGGGUAGCUACGCCUAGCUGUCAGGAUGGCACGAUGAGAACCGUGACAUCCACUAAAUCCCAGCAUAACAGUGGGAUGGACUCGGGCAUACCUGCAAAGUUGCUGCCAGGGUCGGUGAUUCAACUUUGGGCAGCCACUGUCUCUUGAUGAUCCCUGUGUUGCUUCUAGGGGGUCCUUCCGGUGUUCCCUGCCCAAGUUAGCCUGUAGAAGAUGCAUGUGAGGGACCCGAAGGUGAGUAAGUAGUGCAAGCGAGCCUCCAGCUUCUCCUAAAAGGCAUCAAAAAUCAUAUUCAGGUGAAGCUCCACAUCUGAGCUCAUACUGCAAGGGUCAAGGGAGCAAACGUCAUCCUCCAU